GGACUACUGGGGUUUCUAAUCCUGUUUGCUCCCCACGCUUUCGUGCACUCAGCGUCAGAUAUGGACCAAGAAGCUGCCUUCGCCAUCGGUGUUCCUCUCGAGAUCUACGCAUUUUACCGCUACUCCGAGAAUUCCACUUCUCUCUUCCAUCCUCUAGCACAUCAGUAUCUGCUGCAUACUCCCGGUUAGGCCGGGAAAUUUAACAACUGACUUAACAUGCCGCCUACGCACCCUUUACGCCCAAUAAUUCCGAAUAACGCUCGCACCCCUCGUAUUACCGCGGCGGCUGGCAC
rnacentral:rRNA from 1 species